CCUGUUUGUACCGGUUAAAGUUGGAAGGAAAAAAAAAUAGAACAGCACCACGGGUGAGCAAAUCCCUAAUUCCUCUCGCGUGCGUUCCUCUCGCCGGCCGGCCGCCGCUGCAGUCCGGCGCCACGCCGCCUCCUCUCCCGCUGGCCGUCGCUUCAGUUCGGCGCCACGCCGCCUCCUUUCCCUCCGGCCGCCGCUGCAGUCCAGCGCCAUGCCGCCUCCUCUGUCCUCUUCCGUCGGCUGCUGCUGCAGUCUGGCGCCACACUGCCUCCUCUACCGCCGGCCGCCUCUGCAGUCCGCCGCCAAGGCCGCGCCUCCUCUCCCGACGCCGCAGUCCGCCGCCACGCUGCCUCCUCUCCGGCCGCCCGGCCGCCGCGCGCCCUCUUCCGCAUUCCAGCCGCCGUCGCGCACUGAUGGACCCCGAGGAUGAAGCGGCACGAGCGGCCUGGAUACUGGAGCACGAGGAAGAAGAAUCCGCAGGAGAAGAGGCAGCGCCCCAAGGCGAACAGAACACUCAACAAGCAAAUGUCCCUGAAAUGUUUGAUCUAGCAAAUGUCAUCUCUGAUCCUGGAAUGCGGAGACCAAUCGAUGAAUUUGAUACCCUGGAAAUUAGAGAUAAAAUGAGAUGGACAUAUUUAUCGAGAGGCCCGAGUCGUUUGAUUGUUCAUAAUUUUCCCAAAACCAAAUUUGGUUUGGAUUGGCUGUCAUUUCGAGAUGCAUGGUAUCCAAGUCGUUCUUAUUUAUUUUCAUGUAUCCAAGUCGUUCUUAUUUAUUUUCAUGUUUUUGCUAGUUGUAUUUCAUGAAUUAUGAAAACUGAAUCUUUAGGGUCAUU